UACAGAGGGGGCAAGCGUUAUUCGGAAUUAUUGGGCGUAAAGCGCACGUAGGCGGCUUCUUAAGUCGGUGGUGAAAUCCUGGAGCUCAACUCCAGAACUGCCUUCGAUACUGGGGAGCUCGAGUCCGGGAGAGGUGAGUGGAACUGCGAGUGUAGAGGUGAAAUUCGUAGAUAUUCGCAAGAACACCAGUGGCGAAGGCGGCUCACUGGCCCGGUACUGACGCUGAGGUGCGAAAGCGUGGGGAGCAAACAGG
rnacentral:rRNA from 1 species